rnacentral:lncRNA from 1 species
AGCAGAAGAAUGCAUGUCGAAACUUUCAUCAUUUUGGGCAUUGAUGCUGUUGAAAUCUUAAUCGCGUGUUGCAUAAAACAAAAUGUUAGAAUUAGAGAAAAAAGCUUUCCUCACGCCGUAGCGACUCUGUUGCACUUAUAUUUAUAAAGGUAUAAAAUUAUUAGCAAGACUUGGGUUAUAUAAACAUACAAGAUGGCGAUGAUUGCUACUGAUAUUAAGAGUAUGUUGUCUAUAACAAUAAAGUCACGACAUGAUAGUUAUACAGAUCAAUAUAACAGAAUUUUCAUGGUCAAAAUAUUGCUUGUUAGUUGCCUUAUCAUGGGGAUCAGUUGGUUUCAGGACUCCAUAACUUGUAUCGUGCCAGGAACAAGCUCUAUUGAGGCUGGAUUUGUUUCUGCAGCAUGUUGGAUACAAGGGGUAUAUGUUUAUAAAGAACUUCAGAGUCGUGUCACUGAAGUAGCAUAUUUUGGCAUUCCAAAGGAUAUGGAUGCUGAUGGAAUGUUAAGUACAGGAGAACUUUGUAGUACACUUUCAAAAUUUAAUAAGCAAAAUAAAGAAUGCUUACCAAUGCAUAAAACAUUUUUUUUGCAG